rfam:Serratia odorifera DSM 4582 genomic scaffold SCAFFOLD1, whole genome shotgun sequence.
AUGUUUAGGAAUUCAUUACAACCUGCUCGACCAGAACACUGAAAACCAAUACGCAGGUCACGAUUUCCCUGGUGUUGGCGCAAUAUUCGCGCACCCCGGCCUAGGU